rnacentral:rRNA from 1 species
AGUGAACGCUGGCGGUAGGCCUAACACAUGCAAGUCGAGCGGCAGCACAGUAAGAGCUUGCUCUUACGGGUGGCGAGUGGCGGACGGGUGAGGAAUACAUCGGAAUCUACUUUUUCGUGGGGGAUAACGUAGGGAAACUUACGCUAAUACCGCAUACGACCUACGGGUGAAAGCAGGGGAUCUUCGGACCUUGCGCGAUUGAAUGAGCCGAUGUCGGAUUAGCUAGUUGGCGGGGUAAAGGCCCACCAAGGCGACGAUCCGUAGCUGGUCUGAGAGGAUGAUCAGCCACACUGGAACUGAGACACGGUCCAGACUCCUACGGGAGGCAGCAGUGGGGAAUAUUGGACAAUGGGCGCAAGCCUGAUCCAGCCAUACCGCGUGGGUGCAGAAGGCCUUCGGGUUGUAAAGCCCUUUUGUUGGGAAAGAAAAGCAGCAGGUUAAUACCCCGCUGUUCUGACGGUACCCAAAGAAUAAGCACCGGCUAACUUCGUG